rnacentral:tRNA from 1 species
GGGGAUAUGGCGAAAUUGGUAGACGCUACGGACUUAUAAAAAAUCCGUCGACUUUAAAAAUCGUGAGGGUUCAAGUCCCUCUAUCCCCA